GCGGUCGCUUUGGCAGCACAUAUUCUCAAAUUGGAAUGUUACAGAGAAGAUUACCAUGGCCCUGCGCAAGGAUGACAUGCAAAUUCGUGAAGCAUUCUAUAUUUUA
rnacentral:snRNA from 1 species